CUUGUUUCUCAACCUCGAAUCUUGUCUCUCGUUUUGGCUACAGUUUCCUUUCUUCUUUUAGGAUUCCAUUCACUCUCAGAACUGCACUACAUGAUCCUUGCUAGUCAUCCCUGAUGGAGGAUCACAGGAAUC